rnacentral:rRNA from 1 species
GACGAACGCUGGCGGCGUGCUUAACACAUGCAAGUCGAACGCUGAAGCUCAGCUUUGGUUGGGUGGAUGAGUGGCGAACGGGUGAGUAACACGUGAGUAACCUGCCCCCUUCUUUGGGAUAACGCCCGGAAACGGGUGCUAAUACUGGAUAUUCACUGGUCUUCGCAUGGGGGUUGGUGGAAAGGGUUUUUCUGGUGGGGGAUGGGCUCGCGGCCUAUCAGCUUGUUGGUGGGGUGAUGGCCUACCAAGGCUUUGACGGGUAGCCGGCCUGAGAGGGUGACCGGUCACAUUGGGACUGAGAUACGGCCCAGACUCCUACGGGAGGCAGCAGUGGGGAAUAUUGCACAAUGGGCGCAAGCCUGAUGCAGCGACGCCGCGUGAGGGAUGGAGGCCUUCGGGUUGUGAACCUCUUUCGCUCAUGGUCAAGCCGCAACAAUGGUUGUGGUGAGGGUAGUGGGUAAAGAAGCGCCGGCUAACUACGUG